UAAAGCAAGAAAGGGCGUAUGGGGAAUGCCUAGGCACACUCCGGCGAAGAAGGACGCAGCAAACAGCGAAAUGCGACGGUGAGCGGUAAGCACGUGAAGAGCCGUCGAUAUCCGAAUGGGGGAACCCACACGGAGUCAUAUCCGUGUAUCACAUGUCGAAUACAUAGACAUGAUGAGGCGAGACGCAGGGAACUGAAACAUCUAAGUACCUGCAGGAAGAGAAAAUAAGAAUGAUUUUCUGAGUAGCGGCGAGCGAAAGGGAAAGAGCCCAAACCGAUCUUAGGAUCGGGGUAGUAGGAUCAUCGAUAAAUCUGACAGAGGAUCAUAGAGGAAUCACAUGGGAAGGUGAGCGAGAGAGGGUGAGAGCCCCGUACUCGAAAUGAGAGACUGGAGAGAGAUGACACCUGAGUAGGGCGGGACACGAGAAAUCCUGUCUGAAUCAGCCGGGACCAUCCGGCAAGGCUAAAUACGAGAGAGUGACCGAUAGUGAACCAGUACCGUGAGGGAAAGGUGAAAAGAACCCCGGGAGGGGAGUGAAAGAGAACCUGAAACCAUAUGCCUACAAGAAGUCAGAGCCCGUUAAAGGGUGAUGGCGUGCCUUUUGUAGAAUGAACCGGCGAGUUACUGUAUGGAGCGAGGUUAAGCAGGAUAUGCGGAGCCGAAGCGAAAGCGAGUCUUAAGAGGGCGAGAGUUGCAUGCAGUAGACCCGAAACCGGGUGAUCUAGCCAUGACCAGGUUGAAGUUGGGGUAAAACCCGAUGGAGGACCGAACCGACCCCCGUUGAAACGUUGGCGGAUGAGUUGUGGCUAGGGGUGAAAUUCCAAUCGAACCCGGAGAUAGCUGGUUCUCCCCGAAAUAGCUUUAGGGCUAGCGUCGAGGUAAGUUGCGUGAAGGUAGAGCACUGAAUAUGUGAUGGCCCCAUCUCGGGGUACUGAGCAUAAUCAAACUGCGAAUGUCACGCCAACAUGCUCGGCAGUCAGACAGCGGGUGAUAAGGUCCGUUGUCAAGAGGGAAACAGCCCAGACCAUCAGCUAAGGUCCCAAAAUGUAUGCUAAGUGGAAAAGGAUGUGGAGAUGUACAGACAACUAGGAGGUUGGCUCAGAAGCAGCCAUCCUUUAAAGAGUGCGUAACAGCUCACUAGUCGAAUGACUCUGCGCCGAUAAUUUACCGGGGCUAAGCAUACUACCGAAGCUAUGGAUCCCAAGGGAUGGUAGGGGAGCGUUCCAUGAACGGAGAAGUACGACCGAAAGGACGUGUGGAGAUCAUGGAAGAGAGAAUGCCGGUGUGAGUAGCGGAACGUGGGUGAGAAUCCCACGCACCGAAAACCCAAGGUUUCCAGAGGAAGGUUCGUCCGCUCUGGGUAAGUCGGGACCUAAGGCGAGGCCGAAAGGCGUAGUCGAUGGACAACAGGUAGAGAUUCCUGUACCCGUAUAUAUGUGAAGGAAUGACGGAGAGAGGAAGCUGCAGCCAGCGGCUGGAAGAGCUGGUGCAAGCGAGAUAUCGGGAUGGCAGGCAAAUCCACCAUCCGAAACGAGAAGGCGUGAAGCGUACGGAAAGCUACGGCGAGUACGGAAGGCAGUGGAGGAACUUCCAAGAAAAGUUUCUAACGUUAAGUAUAUAUGGCCCGUACCGAAAAUGGACACACAUGGGUGAGGAGAGAAUCCUAAGGUGAGCGAGAGAACUAUAGCUAAGGAACUCUGCAAAAUGACUCCGUAACUUAGGGAGAAGGAGUGCUCAUAGAGAUAUGAGCCGCAGUGAAACGGCCCAAGCGACUGUUUACCAAAAACACAGCUCUCUGCUAAGCCGCAAGGCGAAGUAUAGGGGGUGACGCCUGCCCGGUGCUGGAAGGUUAAGGGGAGGGGUUAACGCAAGUGAAGCCCUGAACUGAAGCCCCAGUAAACGGCGGCCGUAACUAUAACGGUCCUAAGGUAGCGAAAUUCCUUGUCAGGUAAGUUCUGACCCGCACGAAAGGCGUAACGAUUUGGGCGCUGUCUCAGCUGUAGACUCGGUGA
rnacentral:rRNA from 1 species